AUAUAUAUUUUCUUCUAAAUAUACACAACAAUAUUAGUAUGUGAAAAAAACAAAAUUUUAAAAAACACCGGAGAUGAAGAAAUAUACCGUGAGAACACCAAAAGUUUCUGGUAAGUCGAAGAACGAAAAUUCAAGAUCGUCGUUUGAAGCCAUUCUUAACAACACUGCAAUAUUCUCAAUCAAAUCAUUAAAUCAACGUAAAUCACUAAAUUGUAUACUUACCACAAUAAAAACAUCAAAUAUUUUGUAUGUAUGAAAAAGCUUAGAUGUGACCAAAUCAAAAGUGUGUAUGCAUAUAUUUUUUAUAUGUUAUAAAUGCAUAGUUACACAUGCCAUGGAUUGUAUAUAUAUAUAUAUAUAGUUUCAAAAUAUCUGUGAAAUGAAAACAUAAUAAAAUUUGCAAAAGCUACAUGUAUUUUCAUUAAAAUGAACAAAAUUCCACAUCAUCAUCAUCCAAUAUUGAAGAAAACAUUUGAUAAUGUAAAAUUCAAGGAACAAAAAACAUGUGCGUUAAAAAAAGUAAUUUAGAUUUGAAUAUAUAUGAUAUAUAAAACAAAAAUGAAACUUAUCUCAUAAUUUACAAAAAAAUCUUAUCUGAAUCUUGUUUCAAAUUUUAGAGAGCUAAAGAUAAAUUUUAACAUAAAUGAAAAUGAUAAAACUCAGAAACUUAUGCCUAAUUUAUCUAUAGAGAUGAUGUGAACUAAAAUAUACCUUUUCUUCGGUAAGAAAAGCGACCGGAUAUGCUCGAAUGAAACCAAGAUAUAAUGAAAUCAAGAAGAAGUAUUAGAAAUGGUCGAGGUUACGGAUCGAGAUAUAUAGGUAGACGCUUGAAGCAACGGGAUAAGAUUUGAUAAAUAUGAUUGCCUUUAUGUUUGUAUUUUUCUGUGUGGCCAAAAACAAAACAAAAUUGUUUCCGUAUAUGAUUACAAUAAA
rnacentral:sRNA from 1 species